rnacentral:snRNA from 1 species
GUGCCAAUGAGUAUAAUUGAUAAAAUUGAAACGAUACAUAAAAAAAUUGUAUGAUUUAUGCCUAAGGAUGGCAUACACAAAUCGAGAAAUGAUCUAAAUUUUU